AUGGAAUUCUCGACGAAAUUCCGCGUGGCGCGAUGCCAUUCGUGUCGCGCCAAAUCGGUUCUUGGUUUGAACAUUUCCUCACCUGUUGCCCAUCCUAUUCGAAAUUUACGACGCAAGACAAGAGAGACCAUACGAAAGCUCUCAAAAAAAAAAAUUCUAGUUGAGAAUGUCGUUGUCGAUCUUUAUGAUUUGCAAGGAUCAACAUUCAGCAAGUCAAAACUGGGAGUAGGACGAUGGUCAGGGAUCACACGACGGAUGGCGAGCAGAAAGGCCAAGGUCCUCGCCGGCGCGGUGGCCGGCACGGUGCUCGUGGCGGCCGAGGUGGCCCUCUACCUCUGCCUGCGCCUCUCCAGGCCCUUCUACCUCUCCACGGCCGCCGUCCUGGCGGCGACGGUCCUGACGCUGCUGCUCCUGCUCCACUGCACGGCGGGGCGGGCGGAGCGCAUGGCGGCGCGCCGGGCUCUGGACGACGGCGAGGAGCUGCGCGCCGAGUACAGCUACUUCCGCAAGGUGGCCGGGCUGCCGCGCAAGUUCUCCCUGCACGCGCUGGCGGCGGCCACGGACAACUUCCGGUGCGUGGCCGGGCGGGGCGCCUCCGGCACGGUCUUCCGCGGCGUCCUCGACGACGGCAUCCCCGUCGCCGUCAAGCGGAUCGCCGACGACCGCCCCGGCGCCGGCCGCGCCGACAAGGAGUUCCGGGCGGAGGUGGCGGCCAUCGCCGGCGCGCAGCACGUCAACCUGGCCCGCCUCCUCGGCUUCUGCCUCGGCUCCCCGCGCUUCCUCGUCUACGAGUACAUGGACCACGGCUCCCUCGACCGCUGGAUCUUCCCCGCCCCCGGCGGCGAAGCAAAUGACGCCGCCGACGCCCGCCCGCGCUGCUGCCUGCCGUGGCCGCGCCGCUACCAGGUCGCCGUCGACGUGGCCAAGGCGCUCGCCUACCUGCACCACGACUGCCGCUCCAAGGUGCUGCACCUGGACGUCAAGCCGGAGAACAUCCUCCUCGACGACGGCUUCCGGGGCGUCCUCUCCGACUUCGGCCUCUCCAAGCUCGCCGGCAAGGACCAGAGCCGGGUGGUCACGGCGGUGCGCGGCACCGCGGGCUACCUGGCGCCCGAGUGGCUCCUCGGCGCCGGCGUCACGGAGAAGUCCGACGUCUACAGCUACGGGAUGGUGCUGCUGGAGCUGGUCGCCGGCCGCCGCUGCGUGCGGCCGGAGGAGGACGGCGGGUGGUCGUACCUGCCCAAGAUCGCCGCCGAGAUGACGCGGGCGGGGCGCGUGAUGGAGGUGGUGGACCGGAGGCUCUCCUCCGGCGUCGGGGAGGCGGAGAAGGCGGCGGUGCGGCGCGCGGUGCACGUGGCGCUGUGGUGCGCGCAGGAGAAGGCCGGGGCGCGGCCGAGCAUGGCGCGCGUGCUGGAGAUGCUCGAGGGGAGGGUUGCCGGGGAGGUGGAGGCGCCGCCGCCGUCGGACACCAUCAUGGAGGACCUGCUGGCGCUCGGCCACGCGCGCGAGCGCGGCGGCGGGCCGUUCCGGCUGCCGUUGCCGAGCCCGACCGGGAGGGCCGCCUCGUCGGCGUCGGUGCUGAGCAAAUACGACUCGUUCGCCAUGUCCUAUCUGUCAGGGAGAUAG
rnacentral:rRNA from 1 species